rnacentral:rRNA from 1 species
UAGGGAAUUUUUCACAAUGAGCGAAAGCUUGAUGGAGCAAUGCCGCGUGAACGAUGAAGGCCUUUAAGAUUGUAAAGUUCUUUUAUUUGGGAAGAAUGACUUUAGCAGGUAAUGGCUAGAGUUUGACUGUACCAUUUUGAAUAAGUGACGACUAACUAUGUGCCAGCAGUCGCGGUAAUACAUAGGUCGCAAGCGUUAUCCGGAUUUAUUGGGCGUAAAGCAAGCGCAGGCGGAUUGAAAAGUCUGGUGUUAAAGGCAGCUGCUUAACAGUUGUAUGCAUUGGAAACUAUUAAUCUAGAGUGUGGUAGGGAGUUUUGGAAUUUCAUGUGGAGCGGUGAAAUGCGUAGAUAUAUGAAGGAACACCAGUGGCGAAGGCGAAAACUUAGGCCAUUACUGACGCUUAGGCUUGAAAGUGUGGGGAGCAAAUAGGAUUAGAUACCCUAGUAGUCCACACCGUAACGAUAGAUACUAGCUGUCGGGGCGAUCCCCUCGGUAGUGAAGUUAACACAUUAAGUAUCUCGCCUGGGUAGUACAUUCGCAAGAAUG